rnacentral:RNase_P_RNA from 1 species
CGAGUGGUGGUCAGUCGCUCCUUGUUUCGACAGGGGGAGGAAAGUCCGGACUCCGUAGAGCAGGAUGUCCUGUUGUUAAAGCAGGGAACCCCGUGUCAAUCGCGGGGGAUGGAAAGUGUCGCAGAAAGUAAACCGCCCUGAGCUUGUCUCAGGGUAAGGGUGAAAGGGUGGGGUAAGAGCCCACCGGGUCCUUAGCGAGAGCGGGAUCGCAUGACAAACCCCAUCCGGAGCAAGAUCACAUAGGGAACGGCACAGGUUGCUCGCCUGGCUUUCGUCUUCGGACGAGAACCGUUCCGGGUAGAUCGCACUAGAUACAUGACUGACCAGGGGCUUCGGUCCUGGACAGAAUCCGGCUUAUAGCCACUCAUUUU